CCCGGGCGACCGGCGCACGGGUGAGUAACACGUAUGCAACCUGGCCGUGACAGAUGGAUAACCGGGAGAAAUCCCGCCUAAUACAACAUAAUGCCGGGAGGGGACAUCCCCUGCCGGCCAAAGGGGGCGACCCCGGUCACGGAUGGGCAUGCGGCGCAUUAGGUAGUUGGUGGGGCAACGGCCCACCAAGCCGACGAUGCGUAGGGGUUCUGAGAGGAAGGUCCCCCACAUUGGAACUGAGACACGGUCCAAACUCCUACGGGAGGCAGCAG
rnacentral:rRNA from 1 species